rnacentral:lncRNA from 1 species
UGUUUACUGAUUUACAAGGUAGGAGUGUAUUCAAGACUAAUCAAAAUCCGGGGAGUUGUUUGUGUUUAAUUCCCAAGGGAAAUCCUCUGGAGAGGGUGAGGCGGGAAGUGACUCCUAGGGCAUUCGGUUGGACAGGAAUCAAUGGCCAUGUUAAUUUCUCAUGAAAGCUCUAUGUAAAGGGGCUCUUUAUUGGAAAAAUAAAAUAAAACAACCGAAUACUGUAGCUCAACUUAUUUGUUUGUUUGUUUAUUCUUUCAUUUGAAACAGAACCUCAGUAUAUACCUCUGACUGGCCUGGAACUUGCUCUAACCACAGAGGCCUCCCUACCUAUGUCACAGUCAGCCUUCCAGUGUUCAGCUCUUAAGGUAUCUUUCAUAGGUUCUGUUCCUAAAUACAAUUCAGUUUUUGACACAAAGAGGCGAUAAAGGCUUAGAGCUGGUGUCUUACUUCUUACCUGCUCAGUGAAUAGAAUUAUGUCCAGAAGUGGUCAGAUGUCUAGACCUGUCUGAUUUGCAGCCACUACAGUAAGACAGGGUCAAGAUGCCAAAAUCACUGGAAGAACAUUGAAGAACAUUUCUUUCCACCCUGCAUCCAAAAGCCUCCUUGGGUCCUGAAGAGAGACAUUAAUGUAUUUCUUUCUGCGUCACUGUGUAUUUUUCUAAUUAAAAUUUUAUUGUAAAGGACUUCCCCAUCAGUCAUCUCUCAACCACCGUCUUCUCGAAGCCUUUUGUUUCAUUUUCCCUCAUCUUCCUCCUUCCCUUUAAGAUGCCUGGAUGUUAGUUAUCAAAUGUCCAGCAAUUGAGAAGUGGUACCCUCAUUAUUUCACUUAAUCUUAAUUGCAGCCUGGCGGGAGUACGUGUCAAUAUUGUAUUGUUGUUAACAUUUCACAGCCGGUCAAGGUCACACACCUCCUAAGGGUGAAUAUCAAUCUGUUUCUAAUGCCAGACCCCGUGCCAUUAGCAAUUCCAGGAAGCCACUGCAAUAGAGACAGUUCUUCAUAGCUACCCUUUCCCUAUGGUACAUAGUGUGUUCUGGGGGUGUGUGUGGUGUGUGUGUGUUCAUAGUUACCCUUUCCCUAUGGUACAUAGUGUGUUCUGGGGGUGUGUGUGGUGUGUGUGUGUUGAAGAUACUAAUUUGAGUUUUACAUUUUGCUGUAUAAUUUAAUGGAUUUCAGAUGGAAACUUCGGAAGUAUUCUUAAGCCCGGGCUCCGGUUCAUUUAUAUAUUUACAUAUUUCUGUUACUUAUUAUUUUUGAUUUUUCAGUUUAUUCAGUUAAGAAUGAAUAGGGACUAUAUUUCAGGCCAGGGAAUUAAUGCUUCUUGCUGCUUCCAUAUCUAAGGAGAACAUGUUAGGUCACAGAUGAAUAAGGCAGGAUUAAAUAGUGUUUACCUAAAGAUACAAUCCAAGAAGGGGAUGGUUUCGUUUUAGAGGAAGAUAACAAUGGCUAUCUAAAAAGACACAUGCACAGGAAAUGGCAGAGUACAAUAGGUAUCAAGUGAAGUUGCUUUCUGUUAUUACAUUCGUUCAGAAUUUCCUUUGUGGAAAAGGGGGUAUGAAUUAAUAAACACUUAUUAUUUUUGCUUAUCUUAUUAUAUGAAUUAAUAAACACUUAUUGUAUGAAUUAAUAAACAUUAUUAUUGCUU